AUGACUGUCACAUGGACAAGCGGCUAUGGCAUCAGUGAGGCGCACCCCUUCGUUGAAUGGGGCAUGAAAGGGAGCCAUCCUGUGCACGCAGCAGCUGACACCGUCACCUUUGGUCGUGAGAGCCUCUGUGGAGAACCGGCUCGUAGUGUUGGUUGGAGGGAUCCAGGCUUCAUACACACAGCUUUCCUGAAGAAUCUCUCACCAGAGAAAGAAUACUACUACAAAAUUGGUCAUAGGCUCCGUAAUGGACAAGUCAUAUGGGGCAAGCCUAAAUCCUUCAGAGCACCUCCUUAUCCUGGGCAAAAGUCGCUGCAGAGGGUCGUUAUUUUCGGCGACAUGGGAAAGGACGAGAGGGACGGAAGCAACGAGUACCAGAACUACCAGCCUGCAUCACUCAACACCACCGACGCGCUCAUCAGGGACCUCGACAACACCGACAUCGUGUUCCACAUCGGCGACAUCUCCUACGCCAACGGGUAUCUGUCGCAGUGGGAUCAGUUCACGCAGCAGGUCGAGCCCAUCACCUCCCGAGUGCCCUACAUGAUGGCAAGCGGGAACCACGAGCGAGAUUUCCCCAACAGCGGGUCGCUGUACAACGGCACGGACUCCGGCGGAGAGUGCGGCGUGCCGGCCGAGACCAUGUACUACGUUCCUACGGAGAAGAGAGACAACUACUGGUACUCCAUGGACUACGGGAUGUUCCGGUUCUGCGUGGCGGACAGCGAGCACGACUGGCGGGAGGGCACGGAGCAGUACAGCUUCCUGGACCGCUGCCUGGGCAGCGUGGACCGGGCGAGGCAGCCGUGGCUGGUCUUCAUCGCGCACCGCGUCCUCGGCUACUCCUCGGGCUUCUUCUACGGCUUCGACGGGACGUUCGCGGAGCCCAUGGCGCGGCAGAGCCUGGAGGGGCUGUGGCGGCGCCACCGGGUGGACGUCGCCUUCUACGGCCACGUCCACCAGUACGAGCGGACGUGCCCCGUCUACGAGGAGCGGUGUCUGCCGGACGGCCAUGGCACCGUCCACGUCGUCGUCGGGGGCGGCGGCAGCCACCUGUCCAACUUCACCGCCGAGGCCCCGCCGUGGAGCGUGUACCGGCAGAUGGACUACGGGUUCGGCAAGCUCACGGCGUCCGACGCCAGGUCGCUCCAGUUCGAGUACCGGCGGUCCAGCGACGGCAAGGUGUACGACAGCUUCACCCUGCGCAGGGACUGA
rnacentral:rRNA from 1 species